GGGCCUGUGGCGCAACAGAUAGCGCGUCUGACUACGGAUCAGAAGAUUCCAGGUUCAAAUCCUGGAAGGCUCG
rnacentral:tRNA from 1 species